rnacentral:lncRNA from 13 species
CUUGUGGUGAUGGUUUAUGUUUCUGAUGAGGAGAGCCGAAUAAUGCACUGGUAACCAAGCCUGUUUAUCUUCCUGCUAUGAGGAAAUUGACUCUUUGGGUGUGGCAACUCUGUGGUAGAGACAAUGGAAUCACAGAAAAGAAAAGGGAGGCAAGUCCUGAAUCACACACCACAGUCAGAAAAAUGAAGAGAAACCAGCAGUGGAGUCUGAAAACAUGCAGACAGUGAAGGAUGAGGGGAAAGUGAUGUCCUGGAAGCCAAAUGAAGACAUUCUUUCAAAAAAGAGUGAUCAGAUACGUCAACUGCUGUGAGAUCAGUAAGAAGAGGAGCUUGAAGUAACCAUUUAUCCUGUUUUCCUUUAUUUAAUUUGUAUUUAUUUUUAUUAGUGAUAGGGUCUUGCUAUGUUGCUUGGGGUGGACUCAGACUCCUGGGCUCAAGCAGUCCUCCCAUCUCAGCUUCCUGAGUAGCUGGGACAACAGGCAUGUGCCACUGUGCUAGGCUUAAUAAUAAUUUAUUGGUCAGGCAGGAUAGUUCAUGUAAUCCCAGGAGUUUGGGAGGCAGAGGUGGAAGAUUCACUUGAGUCUGGGAGUUCAAGACCAGUCUCAGCAAUGUAGUGAAACCUCUUCUUUACAAAAUUAAAAAAUUAUCUGGGCAUAGUGGUGAAUGCUUGUGGUCCCAGCUACUCUGGAGGCUGAGGCAGGAGGAUUGCUUGAACCCAGGAGUUGGAGGCUGUAGUGAGCCAUGAUGCUGCCACUGUAUUCAUUCUGGGUGACACAGAACUUCUCUCAACAAAACUAAACAAAAUAAAUGUAUUUUGGUAUCAAGGAGGUGAUUGUAU